rnacentral:rRNA from 1 species
GCUUAAAAUCCAAAGGACUUGACGGUGCCCCAUCCCUCUAGAGGAGCCUGUUCUAUAAUCGAUGAUCCCCGCUAUACCUCACCACUUCUUGCCUCCAUUCAGUCUGUAUACCUCCGUCGUAAGCUAGCCGUAUGAGUGUCACAUAGUAGGCCCAAGGACAAUUUUAGUCAGCACGUCAGGUCAAGGUGCAGCUUAUGUAGUGGAAAGUAAUGGGCUACAAUUUCUAAUUUAGAACAAACGAACAACCGUCUGAAAUUACGGUCAUGAAGGUGGAUUUAGUAGUAAAAGGGGAAAAUAGCGCCCCCUUUAAUAACGGCCAUGGGACGCGUACAAACCGCCCGUCACCCUCCUCGACAGCAUAUUACUAGUUUCUAACACAUUUUGGCACUUUAGAGGAGGCAAGUCGUAACACGGUAAGUGUACUGGAAAGUGCGCUUGGAUCAGCAAAAUGUAGCUUAGAAAAGCAUUCCGCUUACACCGGGAAAACAUCUGUUAAACUCGGAUCAUUUUGAGCUGUUAAUCUA